rnacentral:rRNA from 1 species
GACGAACGCUGGCGGCAUGCCUAAUACAUGCAAGUCGAACGAGUGGCGUACGGGUGAGUAACACGUGGGAACCUACCCAUCAGAGGGGGAUAACACUUGGAAACAGGUGCUAAUACCGCAUACUGAUGGAUGGACCCGCGGUGGAUUAGCUAGUUGGUGAGGUAACGGCUUACCAAGGCAACGAUGCAUAGCCGGCCUGAGAGGGUGAUCGGCCACACUGGAACUGAGACACGGUCCAGACUCCUACGGGAGGCAGCAGUGGGGAAUAUUGCACAAUGGGCGCAAGCCUGAUGCAGCCAUGCCGCGUGUAUGAAGAAGGCCUUAGGGUUGUAAAGUACUUUCAGCGGGGAGGCGUUACCGACAGAAGAAGCACCGGCUAACUCCGUGCCAGCAGCCGCGGUAAUUC